rnacentral:rRNA from 1 species
AAAUUGAAGAGUUUGAUCAUGGCUCAGAUUGAAUGCUGGCGGCAGGCCUAACACAUGCAAGUCGAACGGUAACAGGAAACAGCUUGCUGUUUCGCUGACGAGUGGCGGACGGGUGAGUAAUGUCUGGGAAACUGCCUGAUGGAGGGGGAUAACUACUGGAAACGGUAGCUAAUACCGCAUAACGUCGCAAGACCAAAGAGGGGGACCUUCGGGCCUCUUG